rnacentral:rRNA from 1 species
UACGGGGGGAGCAAGCGUUGUUCGGAUUUACUGGGCGUAAAGGGCGCGUAGGCGGUCAGCACAAGUCAGUUGUGAAAUCUCCGGGCUUAACUCGGAAAGGUCAACUGAUACUGUGCGACUAGAGUGCGGAAGGGGCAACUGGAAUUCUCGGUGUAGCGGUGAAAUGCGUAGAUAUCGAGAGGAACACCUGCGGCGAAGGCGGGUUGCUGGGCCGACACUGACGCUGAUGCGCGAAAGCCCAGGGGAGCGAACGGG